rnacentral:rRNA from 1 species
AGCGAACGCUGGCGGCAGGCUUAACACAUGCAAGUCGAGCGGGCACUUUCGGGUGUCCGCGGCGGACGGGUGAGUAACGCGUGGGAACGUGCCCUCUGGUUCGGAAUAACUCAGGGAAACUUGAGCUAAUACCGGAUACGCCCUUUUGGGGAAAGGCUUGCUGCCGUAGGAUCGGCCCGCGUCUGAUUAGCUAGUUGGUGAGGUAACGGCUCACCAAGGCGACGAUCAGUAGCUGGUAUGAGAGGAUGAUCAGCCACACUGGGACUGAGACACGGCCCAGACUCCUACGGGAGGCAGCAGUGGGGAAUAUUGGACAAUGGGCGCAAGCCUGAUCCAGCCAUGCCGCGUGAGUGAUGAAGGCCUUAGGGUUGUAAAGCUCUUUUAUCCGGGACGAUAAUGACGGUACCGGAGGAAUAAGCCCCGGCUAACUUCGUG